UACGUAGGGUGCGAGCGUUAAUCGGAAUUACUGGGCGUAAAGCGUGCGCAGGCGGUUUUGUAAGCCAGAUGUGAAAUCCCCGGGCUUAACCUGGGAAUGGCAUUUGGGACUGCAAGGCUCGAGUGCGGCAGAGGAGACUGGAAUUCCUGGUGUAGCAGUGAAAUGCGUAGAUAUCAGGAGGAACACCGAUGGCGAAGGCAGGUCUCCGUGGGCUGACACUGACGCUCAUGCACGAAAGCGUGGGGAGCAACAGG
rnacentral:rRNA from 1 species